GGGCUACAAGUUUUAUUUACAAUAGAGUAUGUCAAUUCGGCCUUGAACAUAUGUUCUACAAUAAAAGGUUAGUCCGGUCUGCAUGGGCUUCGUAUCCGCAUUCUUAAGUCAGAAAUUAUGCAGGGCAAACAAAAUAAGUAUAGUUGCCGAAGAGAAAACUAUUUUCCUCCACUGGCUCGCACGGUCCAAAAAAAAAAAAUCCUUUCUACCUUUAUAGAGUUUCUAUAUACUUUGGCAUAUGCCUUCGUAUUCUUGGAAGGUGCAAUUCCCUUUAUCUAUCAUUCUCAGGGGUGGCGGCGUUAUUAUGCGAAAUUUAUAUAUUUAGCAUGGGGAAAGAGUAGUUAUAAAUUGGCAGGAAGGGACCUGGCUUGUGCCCCGUGCAUGGAACAGAGACAUUAAAGGUCAGCAAACGAGUGAACGACCCUAGAUUUGAGUCUUAUAUUUUAGGAGAUGUUUGUCCAGCUUCAAGCAGCCAUGGCUAAGAGCGGGAUGCCUAAGGACGAAAUAUCUAGUUUAGAACUCCUUAUCCAGAGAAAGUGAUGCCAUGACUAUUUUACCGAUCAGCCUACCUUCCAUUCACCAUCUUUCCAACUCUCAUCAUAAGUCCUCAUCAUAGGUCAAGGAGGUUGAGAUUGGGGAGAAGGGAGGAGAAGGAAUGGAGCUCGACUCUCAAGGAUCCGUAUAUGCGGUAUAUAAAGCACAAAAUUAGAUGGUUCAUGUAAAGCCGGAACUAGAUGGGCUUAGGCGAGGUAAAAAUGGGUCGGGUUGCCGUUCAGUGGGUCGGCCGACCAUGCACUAGGUUUGGAUCAGAUUUAGGUUAAGUUCUAUAAACUUUGAUCUAUGAUUUCAACCGGUCCAAUCCGAACCGAGCCCACCAAUUGCCACCUUUAGCAUCGUAUCAAGACAAACAAGAUAUUGGAAUUCAUGA
rnacentral:lncRNA from 1 species